UUAACCUGACACAUAGUCACAGAGAUUUAUCAUACCUAUGUAAAAUACAAAAAGUCACUUACGGGCACACCCAGAGGAACUUACAGACGGUCAGGUGGAUUUAUAAGCAUCUCUGGAAUGGGAAGCGGUUGCUAAUCAAGACCCCUACAUGAUUGACAGAAGGACCAGCUAUGUGCCGAGUACUUUGCAACAGUUUCCUAUGGAAUUCCCACACUGUCCCUGCAAAGCAGGUACCAUAGUCCCAUUCACAGAUCGGAGACUGAGGCUCAGAGAGGUAAAGUGAGAUGCACGGCUUGCUGACCUGCGGUUCACCACAAAGUGGAAGCCCUGAGCGGCUGGCACAAGUUUAAACCAUGUGAAGAGCGUCCAAGGAUUUGUCUUUUAAUGGCACCGAGAGCCCAUCCCUCCUGAGCGAUUAAGACGUGAAGUGUCAAUCGCUGAAAUUACCCUUUGAUGAAUUACAAGCAGCAAAGGUCACUAGAAGAGAGAUUCCCGAGACGAAUUUGAACUCCGAUAAAACUCACGGUAGGCCCGCCCAGGGGCAGAUUGGGUAAAGAGAUUGUUAUUUAAUAAACAUUGCCAGGACCAUUGGCUAAUGGGCCAGGGGAGAGUUCAUUUAAAUUCACAACGCAUGCCGGUCAAGUUCAGCCCUAUCGGUCGGUUCAUCUGUGACAGACUGGGAGACAAGAGACCAGCAUCGCCAACCUGCCGAUAAGAUAAAUUCCCUGCUGUUGAAGAAACAGAUGCCAUCGGAGCUCUGAUGUAUGGGUUCAGCUGUAUAAGACUGAAGAUUUUUGCACCACAAUGUAAUAUAAAUAAACAUCAAAAGGAA